rnacentral:lncRNA from 1 species
GACAAGACAUUUAUUACUUGACCAUACAUAGUACAUACAUACACAUGAUUUUCACACAAACAGGGUUAAGCAAUAAGAUGUGCCAGUAAGGCUAAUGAUACCCUGUGACAAUAUGACAAGACAACUCAGUUUAUGAAGAAAAAGAAAAUUUCUGAGCAUUUCUUUUAAUCAAGGUGCAAUUCCCAUCAUAAUAACACUAAAUCUUUUUUUUUUUUAUGAUUUUAUACGAAAUGCAAAGAAAUGACAAUUGUUUUUCUCCAUAGUAUACUGAUUUUCACACUGAAAUACAAUUUCAAAAUAUUUUUAUUAUGGUUUUUAUACAUUUAUCAUUAAAAUGUGGAAUGUACAUAGGAUUUCAAAGACAUUGUAUAAGCACAAAAGUAUAAUAAGUAAAACAUCAAUCUUAAUAGACACUUAGUUUCUUUAUAUGAAAGUUGCCCCCUAAUCAAUUGCCUUUCUUUAGAUACAAAUUACAAAAUAUAUUACCAAGCACUAUUUCCUUUCAAAAUAUGAUUCAGGCGUUUGAUUAUUCGGUAAUAAAAAAUUUAUCGGAAGGAAAAUUUUACCCUAAAAAGUCUUAAAUAUAGUAGAGGUAAAGAUUUGAUAAAUUAUUUUUGUCUGCUAGAAGGCUGUCUUUACAGACAAAGCUAUUGCAGCACAAGUCAGGCCUUGCUUCAACUGAUUAUAAAUGAUAUUUUUCUCUUUAUUUGUAUAAUAGUGGAAAUUUCAUCAAAUUUAACAAAAAUUAAGGUCAAUAGAUAUGAGGAGGAUGUAUAUAUAGAAAUAUAUUUUCUAAAACAAAAAAAAUAUGUUUAAACAUUUUUAAAAACAUGAAAUAUAAAAAAAUAUAAAUGAAUGAAUGGGAUAUCUCACAUUCAAGGGAAAAAAACAAAAUGUGUAAUAAAUUAUGCCAACAAAAUAACUUAAACCAAAAUAUACAUCAAAAUAAUGACAAACACAACAACACACAACCAAUAUUAUACCUCUAGUUAAGACAAACCCUGAGUUUAUAUGCCAUAACAGAAUUAAACCCUCAUCUAAACUGAACAAUGAACCAUAUUCAAUUAGCUCACUGUGUCACAUGUCCAAUUUCACUGAACAAAAUAAUGCUUUUUUGACUGUAGUACUUGAGGUUCAAGGACACAUUAAAGUAGAUUUAUCUUGAAAUUUAAAGCUUAACCAUGCACACUAAAAUAUUUGUCAAGAGAGUGCAGAAGCUAACUAAAGUUGGUUAAAAAAAGAUGUCGACUUUCAAUUACUGUCUUAUCGACGUGGCCCACAUCACUAAUUAUUAUUUCAACUAUUUAAAAUCAAAAAUCAGUUUCCAGUGAGGUAUUUUGGAUGCAUAAUCAAUUAUUGAAGAAUAUAGAUGUAUCAUUAUUGCUUGUUGAGACCAUGUUACCCAUAAUGUCAUUUUAUUGUAUUAGUCAAAGAGCAACCUAUUUCUGAUGGAUGAACACUGAACCUAUGGUAAAAAUUUCAUAACAAACCAACUGGAAAUGUAAGUUUAAUGCAAAUUUAUAUAUAAUUAAUAUUUCCAAGGGGCUUAACUCUUUAAACAGUUAAUCUUAGAAGAAAGUCUAACCCAAUUCAAUUGUUUGGAGGUUAUCUAUUCAGUAAAAAAGGACAAGAUUAUAUUCUCAUGAAAUGAGACAAUUACACACACAACAAGCAUUCAUAAACCAGAGGUAUACUAACACUACAUAUAAAUAAAAAAAAAAAAAAUAUAUAAAUUCUUAAUAUAGUUUGAUUGUCAGAUUUUGGACGGUUCAAAAAGUCCAUGCAACAAAAACAAUUGCUGGUCUUUUUGGACGGUUGAUAUAUAUUUCCCAACAUCAGAAAAUUUUCCAAACUUAAAAUAGCACCUUAACAAUGGACUAGACAAUAAUCUUAACACCUUAAUACUAUAAAACAAAUCUGUGAUGAAUAGCUAAACUCAAUUCUGACAUUAUUUGUGUAAAACAUAUCUACACUGUAUGGGAGUGACAUUGGAUAGUGGUUCUAGCUGAAGCAGAGGUUGUAAAUGCAGGCUGCCAUACACAUCAAUGAAUUAGUUGUCAUACACUGUCAAAACUCAGUAUUUGUGAUUCACUUUUAAAACAAAAUUCUUGAAAAUUAUGGUCUGGUGUUGUAAUAGUAGGUCAUAAUUGAAUAUAGCUUGAGAUAUCCACUCAACAACUCUUUUUUUUUAAACUAAAGUAAUCAAUAACUCUUUUUUCCUGUAUGAGAUGGUAGUUUUUUUAAUCUUCUUUAAAGUUAUGAUAAACGAGUGACCAGUGAAAAAUAAUGUUAUUCCAAUUCUUGAACCAAUGCAUACAAACAUCAUAAACUUAAGUCUUCUGUACACGAUUUUAUCAUUUUUUUUUUGCAUAAAUUUCAUAUAAUUGUCAAAUUUUUUUUCAAUCGGUCAGUGUUGUUGUGAAAAUAUGGCAGGUAAUUAAAGUUCGUGUUUUGAAGCCAAAGUUUAACGAUUGUCACCUGUUUGUCAACAACAACAAAAAAGCAUGGAUAUUGAGCACAUGUUUAACAUGUACAAUCAGAUAAAAAGUUUAUUUUAAGGUCAUCCAUGCAGAUUUUUACUAGAUGGGUCACACUGAGGUCACUUUGCAUACGGAAAAUAUGUCAGGGAAUUGCUUCCUAGAAAAGAAGCAAUUAAAAUAAAGUAGAUUUCUUCUAAAUAAGAACAAAUUAAAGAAUUUUCUUUAGAAAAAAAUAUAUGUAGAAAGUUUAAUAAUGAAAACUAUCCAUUGAGUUAUAAAAAAAACAUAUGCAUUAUUUUUUUUAAUUUGAGGUUUCUUAUGACCAACAUUCCUAGACUUUUUUGGAAACAGGUCAAUUCCCAACAUAUAAUAAUAAAAUUUAAUAUCUAAUUUUCCACUAAAAAAUUUUACAACCUCUCUCCGUGUCAGCUAGAACCAAUAUCCAGUGUAGCUGCCAUGCAGUGGUCUAUAUUCAUAAUAAUUGUCAAUAACUAUACAUAAUACAAUCUUAAUUAAGUCUACUGUUACAUUCCAUCAUUUUUUUUUUCUACAUUUUUUUUCUUCAAAUUUUUCAUAUAUUUUAAUGUUACAACACACUAUGAGCAUUUGUAAUGCAUUUAUUUGAAAUCUCAAAAAUAAAAAGAUGACACUGAUACCAAACAAUACAUACAUCAAACAAUCAUAUCAUACAAAAGUACAAAGUUUCUGUAAAUUUACAUGUUAUACAAGGCACUUCUCCAUUAUGCAUAGAAUCAUAUAAUGUACAUAACAAUUUUUAAAGCAUUGUAAUGAACGUACAAAAAUGGGAAUGAUCUUGUAAGACACAAAAAUGACAAUCAAGAAGAGUUAUAUAAAUAUACAAGUUCUUUUCAAAACUGAUGAACCCAUGACAAAAUGAAACAUACUGCCUGCAAAAACAAUACCUUCUAAAAUUCAGAAUUUACUUUAGACAAGUUUUUGAUUAUUUUUCCUUUCACUCAUUCCAAUAGGGAAGAUAAAUAAGAAUUUU